GACGAACGCUGGCGGCGUGCUUAACACAUGCAAGUCGAACGGUAAGGCCCUUCGGGGUACACGAGUGGCGAACGGGUGAGUAACACGUGGGUGAUCUGCCCUGCACUUCGGGAUAAGCCUGGGAAACUGGGUCUAAUACCGGAUAGGACCACUGCCUGCAUGGGUGGUGGUGGAAAGCUUUUGCGGUGUGGGAUGGGCCCGCGGCCUAUCAGCUUGUUGGUGGGGUGGUGGCCUACCAAGGCGACGCCGGGCAGCCGGCCUGGGAGGGUGACCGGCGACACUGGGACUGUGAGACGACCCAGACUCCUACGGGAGGAAGCAGUGGGGAAUAUUGCACAAUGGUCGCAAGCCUGAUGCAGCGACGCCGCGUGAGGGAUGACGGCCUUCGGGUUGUAAACCUCUUUCAGCACCGACGAAGCGCAAGUGACGGUAGGUGCAGAAGAAGGACCGGCCAACUACGUGCCAGCAGCCGCAGUAA
rnacentral:rRNA from 1 species